AAAAAAAGAAAUUAAUGGAAUCUGUUCAAAAUACCCCUGAAAUGAAAUUACAUUUUUAACUCUAAUUACCCUAAUUAAAACUUGACAGCUGUAAUCCUGGAAUGGCAGAUAUGCUAAGUACCCCAUGCCUGUGACAAGCUUACUUACCCAGAUGGAAUGUUAUUCUGUUCUGGGCUUAGGAGAAAAAUUCUUUUGUAUGUUUGUUUUGUUGUUCCCCAUCAGCAAUUUAGUCUUUGGCCUCACAGCUUCCACAGGCUAGGAUAGUCAGUCAUACUUGUGGGCCACAGGCUUGUCCAGAACCCCUUAUUCUCAACAUAGAUCCUUUUGUAUCCAGAGGUGAUGCUCCUGAUGAUUCUUACCACAUACUUUUGAGUUCUCUCUUCAGUUGAGGUUGGACUAUUUGCCCUGAGCCUUUUACUGGGUGAAAUCCCCUGCCUCUGGGGAUCAAGGAUUGGUGCUUGUUAGAAGGCUGUCUGCUAAAUCUGUUUCUGGGAUCAGUUUAUGGCUGGUAUUAAGGAUACACUUUGAGGAGUUCCUGUUGUGGGGCAAUGGAAAUGAAUCCGACUAGCAUCCAUGAGGACUUGGAUUCAGUACCUGACCUUGCUCAGGGGGUUAAAGAUCCCUCUCGGAGCUUGCUCAGGGGGUUAAAGAUCCAUCUCGGAGCUCCAAUUUGACUCCUAGUCUGGGAACUUCCAUAGACCUUGGGUGUGGCCCUAAAAAGCAAAAAGAAAAAAGCUGAGAGAGGAGGAUAUAGUUUCAGGUCUGGGACAGGGAGCUCUGAAAAUGGGGUCUCUCUUCUCCUCACAUAUCUCAGUAUAGGCUGGAGCCACCUAGUGAAAUACCCAGUCUUGGUCUCUACCUGAACUGGUUACCUGGUCAGAUGAUGAACAUAAUGGGGAGGGAGGGUGGCAGCCCUUGAAGCAGAUUGAAGGCUCCAUUGAUGGCGUGAGUCAUCUUAUGGUUCUGUUAGAACCAAAGAUCCCCAUGUUCUAGUGACUUUCUCUUAGCCUAGAAGCCUGUUCAGUCAGCUUACACUGGGUGUUAUGUUAGAUACUGCAAGGGAUACAGAGUUCAAUAAGACACAUUCCCUGCCCCUGAGAAGCUUAGAAUUGUGGGGGAGUUGGAAGGAAGUAGUGGUUAAGGCACAGCCAUAUGGUGACUGAUUACUUAAGGCAGAACAAGCAAAGACUUUAAACAGGUGUUGGCAUUUGAGCUUGUCCCUGAAUAAGUAAAAUUGGCAAAGGAAUAGAGAAGGGCUUUGCAGGUGUUAAGGAAUAGCAUGGUGGAAAGUAGGAAGUUGUCUGCUGUGAUUGGAGUACAGUGAGCUGAUAGAGAUAUGGUAGAGGAUGAGGGUAGAGUUUAAACUUUAUCCUAUAGGCAAAGGGAAUCCAUUGAGGGUGCAGGACUGUGAUGGAUUGGGGAGGCAAGAUGAUUGGAGACAUUAGAUUAGUUAGAACAGGUGUCAGCAAGCUAAUGCCUGUGAGCUAAAUCAGUUUGCUGCUUCUUUGCAUAAAGUGGUACUGGAAUACAGCCACACUCAUUUGUUCAUAUAUGACUGUUUUCAUACUAGAUCAGCAGAGUUGAAUACUAUAGAGAUUGCUGGCCCUAUGCAGAAAAAGGUUGCUGACCUUUGAGUUAGAAGGUAAUUAGGAAAGUUCCGUAAGAGGAGAUAAGUGUCAGGACUAAUGGAGGUGUCAAAUGAGAGUUUUCAAAAGAAGGGACAGUAUGAUUUGGAGUUCCCGUUGUGGCUCAGUGGUUAACUAACCCGACUAGUAAUCAUGAGGUUGUGGGUUCGAUCCCUGGCCUCGCUCAGUGGGUUAAGGAUGCGGUGUUACCAGGAGCUGUGGAGUAGGUCACAGAUGAGGCUCGGAUCCCGUAUUGCUAUGCUGCUGGCCUAUACCACAGCCAUAGCAAUAUCAGAUCCUAGCCGAGUCUGCGACCUACACCACAGUUCAUGGCAACGCUGGAUCCUUAACCCACUGAUCAAGGCUAGGUGUUGAACCUGUAUCCUCGUGGAUACUAAUCGGGUUCGUAACUGCUGAGUCACAACAGAAUUCCCUGGGCUUUCUUCUCUAAGAUCUCAACUUAGAGCAUAGCGUUUUGCCUUUUUUCUUUUCCCCUGUGUGCUUCACUCCUUUCAUUCUGUAGUAUUUGUGUAUGUACAUACUCCAUGCUCUUUAAAUUCACUGUAUUUGACUGUGAGAAGAAUAGUUAUAUCUCUAGCUAUUUUUACUGGUAGGGUUCCAAGAACUGGCACUCAGUUACUGGUGUGGAACAGACCUUGGGAGUCAGGUCCAGCUGACCCUAGGAUUCAGCAAGGCAUGCUCUCUCUAGGAUGGGCAGUCUAGUCUAGUUCAGUACAGGCUAACAUUUUGCCCUGGCAUCCAUGAUACAGCGGAGGAAGAAGGGCCAGACAUUGAUCCAGUCAAUUUUUGUUGUUGUUCAUUUACCUCAAAACUCUGAAAUCUGUGCUAUUAUCAGAGAUAUCAUUUUACAGAUGUGGGGACUUAGUUUCAGAGGAUUAUUCAGUAGACAGAGACUAACUCAUUAAGGAUACAGGGAAUAACCUAAAUAUUCCCACUUCCCAAAUUGGGGAGAGUUGUGGAAAAGAACAAUAGUAAUCUACUCUCUUUAGAGGAUAUAAGAGGAGUUCCUGUUGUGGCUUAGUGGAUUAAGAACCCGACAUAUUCUCCCUGAGGAUGCAGGUUUGAUCCCUGGCCUCAUUCAGUGGAUUAAGGAUCCAGCAUUGCCUCAAGCUGUGGCGUAACUCACAAAUAUAGCUUGGAUCCAGUGUUGCUGUGACUGUGUUGUAGGCUAGCAGCUGCAGCUCUGAUGACACCUAGCCUGGGAACUUCCUUGUGCCAUAAGUGUGGCAGUAAAAAGGAAAAGAAAGAAAAAAAAAAAAAAAAGAAAAAAA
rnacentral:lncRNA from 1 species